rnacentral:rRNA from 1 species
UACGAAGGGGGCUAGCGUUGUUCGGAAUUACUGGGCGUAAAGCGCACGUAGGCGGCUUUGUAAGUCGGAUGUGAAAUCCCUCGGCUCAACCAAGGAAGUGCAUUCGAAACUGCAGAGCUUGAGUUCGAAAGAGGUUAGCGGAAUUCCCGGUGUAGAGGUGAAAUUCGUAGAUAUCGGGAGGAACACCAGUGGCGAAGGCGGCGAUCUGGGUCGAUACUGACGCUGAGGUGCGAAAGCGUGGGGAGCAAACAGG